GCUGUGUUUGGUUUCCUCCAAAUGUGAUGCUGUGCAUUAUAGCGAAACAUCCUCACUAGAGAGAAGAUGUUUUCUCCUGGCAACCCAGGCCAGGCUUGUCCAGUCUUUAUCUAACUGUGCUGUCAUGAAAAAUUGAACAUGCUAACUGAGGCCUGUAGUGUCUGAGAUGUAGCCUUUAUGUUUUUUGCAGUUUCUCUGACAUGUCCACUCCCGGGAAGAUUGGCAAAUGCCUGAAGGAUUUCUUUUUUCUUUUUUCUUUUUUUAUUGAUAAAUUAUCAUUUUUAAAAAGCCAACUUUACCUUCUAGCUCACGCUACGUACAUACUCACUUACCCAAGUACUGAAUUUGAACUAUGUACAAAGUAUUUCUUAGUAUUUUCUGCUUCAUUGUCAUAAUCACAUUCAAAACAAGGUUAGGAGUUUGAACUGUGCACACCGGUCAAGGUCAAGAGAUAAGAUGCUGAGUUAGCGUAUAGCAAUGCUAGCUAGACAGAGUUCACUGGAGGUCAAAGAGCAGCGAUAUAAGCAAAGGGAGGAGGGUUUACAUUCUAACUCACAGGCAGAAGGAGCAAAGACAGGAACAUCAUAGGCUUCAACUACCUCUAAAACUGGAAAAGAAAAAAAAGUUGGCAUGCAAACGUGAGUCACCAUGUUUUGUUUUGUUUUUGUGGAUAAUUUUGAGAAGGUAACGGUGAAAAGCUUGGGGACAGAGGACCAGGAAGCUUCAUAACAACUCAAACUGGUUAUUGCUGUAGUGAGUUAAAAGCUGCAUGGCACAAAGAAAUGAUUUAAAAAAAAAAACACAAGCUCCUCUUGAUCUGACACUCUUCCUGACUAAACACUUGGAAGCAAAGUUGGCACACAUGGGUAUUUAAGGAUAAUUUCUCCUCAAAAAUCAACAUUUUCAGGAGUUAAAAUCAUAUAGCAAUACUAUGUCAGUGCACACAGGCAUGAGAAAUGGUUACAAUGCAGUAUGAAUAUGCAGCUUUCUGCAGCUGGACAUUAACUAGCAGCAAAACAACACAAUUGCAUAUAAUUGUAGUGCAAUGGGAAAACUGUUCUUAGGUUGUUUCAAUUUGGUCUGGUCGGUAACGAGAAAAAUCAAGUGGGUGCAGUCACGUCAUUCAGGCUGCUGAAGGAAAGAAAACUGAUAAAAAAAAAAAAAAAUCCUAAACCCAGCCAGUCUCUUGCACUAUCAUUUCUAACAUCAGCCUGAAGGAUUUCUACCUAUGAAUAAUUUUUUUGACUGUAGAACUUCAAAGUGUUUGGACAUGACCUUAUAACCCUUCCUAAAUUGGCAGACAGCAAUAACGAUCCUUGCUGAUGUCUUUCCUAUUUGGUAAUUGUAUACACUGACACCUUACUGCGCCAGACCAGCAACCUGCCCAAACCUCUGCUUUUAGAGAGGUGAAACUUUGUCUACCUGCUGCAUAGUUUUUCAAGUUAUUUUGUUUUAUCUGCUCUUUAAACCGAGUGCCAUCCAAUUCUGUGUUAUUCUGCUAAACCUGGCCAACACACACACACACACACACACACACACACACACACACACACACACACACACACACACACACACACACACGCACGCACGCACGCACGCACACACAUACACACACACAAACAAUCUAGUGAAUAAGUAUCACUGCAGGCUGGGGGAAACAUUGAUUUUUAGGUCGAAUUAACCCUUCAAGUUGAAAAAUGACACCUCGAUGUGAAAGAUGAUAAUAGCACGAGCUAUAAUGUUGUCACACAAGCACUCCAACACUAUUAAUG
ensembl:lncRNA